UGCCAGCAGCUGGGAUCAGUGCUGGGCCAUGGAAGGGAAACAGCCCGCUGCUUUCUCAUGGCAUCUUGAAGACGUGCCGGCAUGAAGGUCUCUCGCCGUGCAUGACCACGGGGGCAGGACGUGAGGGUGCAGGUCAGUGUCAGAAUACGAAGAGCAGGCGAGCUUCGAGGACUGCUGGAGAAAUCAGAAGGGCAUUGUUAGAACACAUCUUUCAUCAGAAACUGGACUCACAAAGCCAUGGGUCAAAUCAUGGCGGUGUUUGCUAUCAUUCAGCCAUUUUUCUGUCAUUUUUGUAGAAAAAGGAAGAUUGCAGAGGUUUUUGCCAAUAUGAAGUUAUGAGGAUGUGUGCGUUCGUGGGAUUUUUCGACAGCAGAGACAUUUGAAAGCCGUUACAAUUGAUCUUGAAGAAAAAAGCGUGGACAGUAUUGUAUUGUCUGGAAUGUGUUGUGAAAUGCAGUUGUUCUAAAAUUCUGCCACACUUCGCCCAGUGUUUAAGAUUUUUACUAUUUCUAUCCGUUGCUUCAUUUGAAGGAAACUUUUUGAAAUUAAUAGAAAAGCAGUUUAACUCUGAAGAAACAUUGACAGAUAUGACUAGUAACUGUUGAACAUGAUAAGGAUUAUGUUCAGGUCAUUAUGAAUUAUUGACAAACUGCAGAAUUUAAGGCUUAAACCGUACUGUUACUCAUGAGUGAGAUAAAUGGUGGGAUUGUUUCAGAAAACACACUAAUGUCAUUAAAAGUGUGACUCCAUUGUCUUGUUUCUCCUGUGACUUCUUACUGACAUGAUUAUAUAUAAAGUUCAGUAAGAAUCUUCACAGCGUUUCUCUUCGGACUGGUGUUGUGAUUGUUCAUUCCUGAUUUCUGAAAGUAACCGGGUUGUGGGGGAGGGUGCUAUGCACUGUGCACCCCAGGGGUGGGGUCUGAGUCCUCGUUGCUCCCCCCACUUAGGAGUGCUGCUCUCUGCUCUUGUUUUGCACAGCGCCAUCAUGACCGGGUCCUACAACAACUUCUUCAGAAUGUUUGACAGAGACACGCGGAGGGAUGUGACCCUGGAGGCCUCGAGAGAGAGCAGCAAACCACGCGCCAGCCUCAAACCCAGGAAGGUGUGUACAGGGGGUAAGCGGAAGAAAGACGAAAUCAGUGUGGACAGUCUGGACUUCAACAAGAAGAUCCUGCACACUGCCUGGCACCCCGCGGACAAUGUCAUUGCCGUGGCCGCCACCAAUAACUUGUACAUAUUCCAGGACAAAAUCAACUAGGGACGCGAACGUGAGGACCAAGUCUUGUCUUGCAUAGUUAAGCCGAUCAUUUUUCUGUCAGAGAAAGGCAUCAUUGUCCGCUCCAUUAAGAACAGUGACGCACCUGCUGCUUCCCUUCACAGACACAGGAGAAAGCUGCCGCCGCUGGAGGCCCGGUGUGUUUCCGCCUUUGGCGAGGCGCGAGGCAGGCGCUACUGCUCACAUGGAGACGCUCUCGAAGCAGAGUUGACGGACACUGCUCCCAAAAGGCCAUUACUCAGAAUAAAUGUAUUUAUUUCAGUCCAAGCCUUCCUUUCCAAUUUAUAGACCAAAAAAUUAACAUCCAAGAGAAAAGUUACUGUUGUCAGUUACCGCUCUUCCUUCGACUUUCCCUCUUUCUCUGCCAUCGCACUUGGGCCUUCACUGCAGCGUGGCGUGGCCACCGUCCGUGUCCUCUCAGCCUUCCUCUGAGUCCGGGUGGGCUCCGUGGAUGUGUGGAUGUGGCCCGAGCAGGCUCAGGCGGCCCCACUCACCCACAGCAUCCGCCGCCACCCCUUCGGGUGUGAGCACUCAAUAAAAACAACACGCUAUAAAAAGUGUUUUUAAAUCCAAA